GGCCAUAUCACGUUGAAACACCAGUUCUUCAACGAUCACGGAAGUUAAGCAACGCCUAGCCUGGUCAGUAAUUAGAUGGGUGAACGCUUGAAAAUAUCAGGUACUGUAAG